rnacentral:lncRNA from 1 species
AGUAUAAGAAUUCAGGUGUCUAGGCUUAAGACGCCCCAGAACCCGCUUCUGUCCGACAGGCUAUGCCUCUGCCUUUUGCUACAACUGACAGACUUGCUGCUCCUGGGCCCCGGAUGAAGAAGGACAUGGAACAGAACAAAGGGACACGCCACGCCACGUGAGCAGGACAAAACCUAAGGACAAAAGCUAAAUGACAAUAAGCCAGCGUGCUGGUCUCCAGGAAGGUCUCUCAUUGAAGCAAUCUGGUAGACCAGCUGGCCAAGAGAGCCUCAAGGAUCUCCCUGUUUCUUCCUGGUGCUGGGAUUACAGAUGCCAGGCUCAGGCUUUUGCAUGUGGGUGCUGGGGCUCCAACCCAGGUCCUCAUCCUUGCACACCAAUCACACUGCCAACUGACGCUAUCUCACCAGCCCAACACCAAAACUCCAGGGCCCAUCUUAGCAACCGGCCUCCUGGCAGGGGAGAAGUCUGUGCCGCCCCAUGGGUCAUUUGCCUACUCUGAGUAAUGGGUUUUUAGUCCACAUAGUAAGAGGCGGGACGCUUUACCUAUACUGAUUAGUAGUGCCUCGCUCUGAGCUCCGUGGGAAGACUGAAUGCAUCAGAAUUGAUUAGCAAAGGCCAAGGGACAAGAAGCGACAGUAUGCGUGAUGCGUGUACCACUCCAGAGUUCUUUUCCAAUACGGACCAGCUUUGACUCUGAUCCUACCAAUGAGGAGUGGGGGGAGGGGACAGAAAACAGAUGAACACUUUCCAACACAGGAUGCCUGCACA